rnacentral:rRNA from 1 species
UACAGAGGGUGCAAGCGUUAAUCGGAAUGACUGGGCGUAAAGCGUGUGUAGGUGGUUAGAUAAGUUAGAUGUGAAAUCCCCGGGCUUAACCUGGGAACUGCGUUUAAGACUGUUUAACUAGAGUACUGUAGAGGAUAGUGGAAUUUCCAGUGUAGCGGUGAAAUGCGUAGAUAUUGGAAGGAACACCAGUGGCGAAGGCGACUAUCUGGACAGAUACUGACACUGAGACACGAAAGCGUGGGGAGCAAACAGG